rnacentral:piRNA from 2 species
UUAAAGAGCUUGGUUAUGUAGCGA